rnacentral:rRNA from 1 species
UACGGGGGGGGCAAGCGUUGUUCGGAAUUACUGGGCGUAAAGGGCGCGUAGGCGGCCCGCACAAGUCUGCGGUGAAAACCCCCGGCUUAACCGGGGGCCGGCCGUGGAAACUGUCGGGCUGGAGGCUGGGAGAGGGCAGCGGAAUUCCCGGUGUAGCGGUGAAAUGCGUAGAGAUCGGGAGGAACACCGGCGGCGAAGGCGGCUGCCUGGACCAGUCCUGACGCUGAGGCGCGAAAGCUAGGGGAGCAAACAGG